UACGAAGGGGGGCUAGCGUUGUUCGGAAUUACUGGGCGUAAAGCGCGCGUAGGCGGCUUUUGCAAGUCGGGUGUGAAAUCCCCAGGCUUAACCUGGGAACUGCAUUCGAGACUGCAUUGCUAGAGUAUGGGAGAGGGAAGUGGAAUUUCCGGUGUAGCGGUGAAAUGCGUAGAUAUCGGAAGGAACAUCAGUGGCGAAAGCGACUUCCUGGACCAAUACUGACGCUCAUGUGCGAAAGCGUGGGGAGCAAACAGG
rnacentral:rRNA from 1 species